rnacentral:rRNA from 1 species
CGAAAGCCUGACGGAGCAACGCCGCGUGAGGGAGGAAGGUCUUUGGAUUGUAAACCUCUUUUCUCAAGGAAGAUAAUGACGGUACUUGAGGAAUCAGCAUCGGCUAACUCCGUGCCAGCAGCCGCGGUAAUACGGGGGAUGCAAGCGUUAUCCGGAAUUAUUGGGCGUAAAGCGUCCGUAGGCGGCGAGUCAAGUCUGCUGUUAAAGAGUGCAGCUUAACUGCAUAGAGGCGGUAGAAACUGACUAGCUAGAGUGUGGUAGGGGUAGAGGGAAUUCCCGGUGUAGCGGUGAAAUGCGUAGAUAUCGGGAAGAACACCNGUGGCGAAGGCGCUC